UGUGUAUUGUUUCUCGCUCUCGCUUGAACAGUACGGACGUGUACUGCCGCUGCGCGUGUGUAUUUUAACUUGGCUUAAGGAAAAAAUACUUAAUUAUACAAUACACAUGUAUUUUGUUCUUUAAUAUGCAACAAAUUGCAUCCAGUAUACAAGUGCAGUGGGGUUGAUCUACAUACACAGCGUACGGCAUGGCAGGCAAAUGCUAUACUAAGCAAAAUACAUAAUUUAAAUUACGUGAGUGUUUGUAUGCGGUGCACGCGAUAGAGCGAGCCAGCAAAUCAGUGCCCAACAUAGCCGCGUAGCCGUGUGAAAGAGAAGCAGAGCGUCUAAAUUGCUUGUGCUUCUUGUUGUAAAUGUGACGACGAAAAUGGCUUAAAGAAAAAAGCUUGUUAAAUAUCAAUCACAUAACAACGAAGUAAAUAUAAUUAAAGUGCAAAAGUGUGGGUAGCAAAUACCAAAACAAACUAAGGUUUCGCCAAAUGGUAUUUUUGUCUUCCUCACCAACUCGGCUCGGUUGAGCCCGCCUAAAAUGUCACAUAACAGUAACAACGAAUGGAAUAAGUACUAAAGACUUUGAUCAAGUAUAAAAAAAUACUGAACGACGGCGCGAGAGAGAGUGAGAGAAAGAGAGGAGAACGAAGCAGCAGAAGUAAGGAGCUAACGGUGAUCGGGCGAGGGCGGAGAAAAAUACCAAAAACAA